ACAGGGCCAUGGCGACGAAGCGGCGCGAGCUCGACAACACGGGGCUGAGGCUCAGCUACGUCGGCUUCGGCACCUCCCCUCUUAGCAACGUAUUCGGCCGCGUCUCCCCUGCCGUCGUGGUCGUUGCCGUGCGCCACGCCCUCGACCUUGGGAUCAACUUCUUCGACACCUUCCCGUACUAUAGGGGGGGCAGUGCUCGGCAAGUGCCUCAGGGAGAUCGGGGCGCCGCAAGAGGAGGUCGUCGUCUCCACCAAGUACGAGCACUACGCAGACGGUUCGACUUUAGUGCCGAGCGCGUGUCGCACGGCGUCAACGAGAGCCUCGCCCGCCUCAAUCUCGACUACGUCAACAUCCUCUAUUGCCACGACAUCGAGUUCGCCCCUUUCGUCGAUCAGGAACGGUAGGCCAAAUCCGUUUGCCCAAGGAAUGGUUUGUCGCUGCGGAGAUCGAGCUUGAGCACACCCCUGUUGUCUACCUUUGGUCCAUGAUUGUCCUAAUAAGGGCUUUGUAAAUCCCUUCGCCGAAUUUCAACAAGAAGUAAGCCAAGUUAUGCAAUUGUCCAUAGCACAAAGAACAUCAUGGAAUUCUUAGUUCUAAAGGAGACUGUAACCAAGGAAGUAAUUGCCGGGCUGAAAGAAGUUUACAAAGCUCUACAAAUGCAGAUGCAAUGUUCGGUGUAGGUCUAUUCUUUUUUUGGUAGUUUUCGAGUGCAAAAUGACAACAUAUUUCUUUAAUGUUAUUUCUUGAACUUUUAUUAAAUUAUUG